CCGGGUGUGGCGAAGUUUGGUAUCGCGCUUGAAUGGGGUUCAAGAGGCCCUGAGUUCGAAUCUCAGCACUCGGACCA
rnacentral:tRNA from 8 species